UUUAAAUAUGAACUUUGGUAGAAGAGUUUAAACAGAACAUCUGCUCAACACCAUGCCCACUCUAAAGAAGUAACCUUUUCACAAGAAUGACAUGUCUUGUCUGAGUCUCCUCACUUUGGCAUUUUGGCUUUCCUCUGGUGAGAAAGUCUCUCCUCAUCUAUGAGCAUUCCCUGUCUGGAAAAUUUAGAAGCAUACUUUGGAGGAAAAACAGGUGAGUGCUAAAUCACCCAAAUUUUGUAAUAAGAAACAAAAAAAAAUAGUUUUUCACAUUUACUAUAUACAUAUUUUUUUAAAUUCAAUCUAUAUAAAGUAUUUUAAAAGAACAACUUUUGGUCUUUGUCUUUUUCACUCAGUUUUCUUUUUUUCUAUAUCUUCUUGGUAGUUCCAAGCAUAAGAUUAGUUUGACUCCAUUUAUUAUCUAUCAAGUUUUAAAAGUUGUUUUGAAAUUACUGCAUCCAUUUAAGUUUUUAAAUUUUCUUUUCAAACAUAACUUUAUCAUUUAUAAAAUAAUUUAAUGAGCAUUUUUCUAAUACCUUAUUUUAGUUAAUGAAUCAGGGUUUAUAAUACGAACAACCAAAAAUAGGAGUGAUUCAAAUUAGUCUCACUGACGGGUGAUAUUGAUGAUCACAGACCACCAGCAGCUGUUUAAAAUCAACGACGUUUACACAUAUUUACAUGUAUGGCAUAUAUGUGUUCAAUUCCUUUUUCCUCCAUUUUCCCAGGAAAAGUCAAAGUUAAUCUUCACUACAUGGAAAGCUGCUAACUUAGACAAAAACGAGUGUAAAGUGGAUUUCUGAUAAAUUUUUACCUUUCCAAGUUCAGGCCAUAAAAGAAAAAAUGAUUUAGUUCAGUUUUGCUCAUGUAUUUGUGUGACCAUCAGCUUUUGAACCUUGAUAGCUUUAUUUUAUCCUCAUCAUCAUUGUCUUCAUCUUAAGGUCCCACCAAGUGGCUCAGAAAGCACAGGAAACCUGGUACAGAAAUCAAGCAUGCUUCCCCCAGCCUGAACAUUUUCCAGGAAGGUCAUGUCGUAUCUACAAGAAUCUCCUUACUUAAAAAAUUAAGAGGAUAAGAAUUCCUUAUCUGAAUUUGCCAUUUAAUUGUCAUGAAGAUUUAUACUUUUUUUUUAAAGUAAUUUUCUAAUUUAGCUCUUCUAUUUAAGUUUUAGAUCCAUUUUGGGUUAAUUUUUGCAUAUGGUUUCUUUCAUUGUUGUCCAGUAGUCCUAGCACCAAGUUUUGAAAAAUCUGUUCUCUAAAGAAUUAUAAUAACACUCUUGUUAAAAAUCAGUGCACCAUAUAUCCAAAAUAUGCAAAGAACACAAGCUACUCAAUAACAUGAAAACAAGCAGCUCUAUUAAAACAUGAGCAAAUGACCUGAACAGACAUUUCUUGAAAGAAGGUGUACAAAAUGGUCAACAGGUAUAAGGAAAAAAACAUUCAACACCUUUAAUAAUCAGAGAAAUGUAAUUUAAAGCCACAACGAGAUAUCACUACACAUCUGUGAAACUGGCUGUAUAAAAAAAGAAUGAAGCGGGCUGGUGAUAUAGCUCAGUAGCUGAACUUCGCCUAUCAUAUGUGAGUACAUGAGGCCCAUAAAUGUGUACAAUUAUUACUUGUCAGUUAAAAAUAAAAUAAGACUUUAAAAACCCAAUUCUCCAUAAAUGUAACAGCUUAUUUUGGACUCUCAUUUCUAUUACAUUAAUCUAUAUGAUAUUGUCAUACCACACUGUGCUGACUACUAUCACUCUGUAGUAAAUUUUAAAAUUAGGAAGGAUGAGUUCUCCAACUUCCUUUUUUUUCAAGAUUAUUUUACCAGUUCUGCACAAUUUAUAUUUUCACAGGAAUUUUAAGAAGAGUUUGUUCAUCUUUCCAAGAAAGGUGGAUAAGAUUUUGGUGGGGGUUGUCCUGAAUCUGUAAGUCAAUUUGGAGAAUACUGUUAUCUUAAUAAUAUUAAGUCUUGCAAUAUUAGAUUAUUUUGCUAUAAAGGCAUUGGAAUAGAUACCAAAAUAGGUAUGAGAUCCUGAGAUGAGGAGUAUAUGUGAAGCUCUUGGUUUAUUCUUAUAAUAAUAAAUUCAGAAUAAAAAAUUAAAAGUUUAAAAAAUUGGUUCUUCUUGCUUGUCAUGAAAAGCAGGUGUUGGUAAUCUGAUUAACCUGUUCCAAUGAAGGAGACCAGUUUUCAAGAGCAAGGUACUAAGUGACUUUAAAAUAUCAAUCCUGUGUGAACUAGGGAAGGAUAGGCAACACAGGCUGUGUUCUUAAGUAAAUUUUCAAAUAAACCACACAGUUCUUCCCACUUGCUAAUUACCUAACAUAACAGCAUACUACAGGUACACAGCCACACCAAUGUUUAUAGCAGCACAAUUCACAAUAACUAAACUGUAAAACCAACCUAGAUGCCCUUCAAUAGGUGAAUGGAUAAAAAAAAAAUGUGGUACAUAUACACAAUGGAAUAUUACUCAGCAAUAAAAGAGAAUAAAAUCAUGGCAUUUGCAGGUAAAUGGAUAGAGUUAGAGAAGAUAAUGCUAAGGUGAAGUUAGCCAAUCCCAAAUAACCAAAUGCCAAAUGUUUUCUUUGAUAUAAGGAGGCUGAUUCAUAGUGGAAUAGGGAGAGGGAGCAUGGGAGGAAUAGACGAAUUCUAGACAGGGAAGAGGGGUUGGAGAGGAAGGGAGGGUGCAUGGGGUUAGAAAUGAUGGUGGAACGUGAUUUAUUAUUAUCCAAAGUACAUGUAUGAAGACACUAAUUGGUGUGAAUAUACUUUGUAUACAAAACAGAGAUAUGAAAAAUUGUGGUCUAUAUGUGUAAUAAGAAUUGUAAUGCGUUCUGAUUAACCUUUUAUGUUGUCACAUAAAAAUAAACAAAAAUAUAAAAGAGUUGGUAGCAAACCCCCCCAUAAGUUUCACAUGUUAAUUUUUAUAACAUUAAAAGGAUAAUAGAAAUUAAACAAAAGAAAAGAAAAAUUUGAGGACUCUUUUGGAAAAAGAAUCACAAUUUCAUAGUAUCAGUUCAAAUUUCAUUUUGUUUUUCGUUAUAAAACUCGGGGCUGCCUGAAAGAUCUUGCUUAUAUGAUGAGACAAGACUGCACUGUGUUGAAAAUAUUUCUGAGAAGCUCAAGUGAUUCUGGGUCAAGGAUUUCCCAGUUCCCAGAUUUUGCAAUGGUUCUUUUCCCAUAGGUGAACACUUAACCCUUGCAGAUGCUGGGAUGACUUUUCACCAGAGAAGAGGCUUAAGUAACCAGUCAGCCCAAUCCUCAGAUACUCAUCAUAGAGUCGCUUUUAUGUUACUCCUCCUCUGACAUGUAUCUAAAUAUUGAAAUUCAGCUGUGUCUUCUUGGACUUCAAUUCACAUAACUUUCUUAUUCCCUGGCUUUGAGCAUCCCCUGUUAAAGUCCUCAACCUCUAUGGGAACUGCUGUGUCUGGACCAUCCUCUCUCCCUUCUAUACUAACAUUUAAAAGAGUUGUGUGUCUUAGGGCUCUAGUCCACCUAACAUCCCUCAAGUAGAACUUCCCUCACUGAAUAUCUGUUUCUAGAGUAUAAAGUGAGACUCUGUUAAGUCAUGAUGGACCUGGAUGUUUGCUAUUUCUUAAACUAUGACUUUAAGAAAAUUGGUCCUGCCAAAUAGUUUACCCCUCUCAGGAGAAGGAUGAACUGGAGUUUUUGAGACACUUACUCUGAAUUCCAAUACAAAGUAAUAUAAUCGGAAACCUUGAAGAUAUAUGAUUUAACCACUCUGAACCUCAUUUCACCUCUCUAAGAAGGAAAUAGUAAUGCCUACAUGUUCUAGAAUCUGAACUAGAUGAGUUUCCAUGACAGAUGAGGAGGAGAACAUUGAGAAGAUAACAAUUGGAAGGGUGGCACACAGCAGUGGUAAAUAAAAGGGGUUAAGGUAAGUAGGCUUUUUGAAAGAUUCCUUGGGAACAGGUUAUCAUGUUAAACAGACUUUCUAUUCCAAAAUCUGUAAUUCCUCAAGAAAUGUCAUGGGCUGGCCUAAAACUGUACUAAAUUUUUUUUGUACAGUUUAUUGGGCUCACUACACAUGAGGACUGACAGGAAAACUCCCCAGAAAACCACAUGACUUGUGUGUUGCCACCUGCUUUCUGAGUUGAUUCCUGAAAAGAUCAACAAUAAGCCAAGACCACCUUCUCUCGCGAUCAAGAAAUGACACACACUUCAAGUUAGAAAUGAAAUGUCAGUGAUCACCUAUACCAAUGUUUCACCUCACAGGGAAGCUUAUAAGAUAAUAAAGUUGUUGGCUUUUUUUUAAAUCCAGAGAGGUUUUGAAGAGGAUUCCCAUACUAAAGAAAAAGUAAUAACACUAUCUUAUUUUGUCUCAUAAUGAUGAAAUUUUAUCACAGCAUAAUUCUAGAAUUGGGGAACUUUUUAUCUAGAUCAGUCAUUUUCAAAUUAUUCCAAGUAUCCUAGAGGAUUUUAUGAGCAUUACUCAGUGAUCACAGUCGGAAAAUGGGGACUAGACCCUAGGCCACUACAUUCCCUCAUUCCCACUUCAACUAACAGAGCUUCUCUGUCUUCUGUUUAAUAUAUCAUAUUUCUAUGUAAUGUUUCCAACUUCUCUGCUUGCUCUUGUGACCUUGAAUAACUGCUUAAUCUCUCCAUGCUUUGUUUUAUUCAUUUUUAAAGUCUGGUAGUAAUAAUAUUUUGUCUCAUAAACUUGUUUUAAAAUUUAAACGAGUAAAUACCCAUACAGCAGUUACAAUAGUAUCUGACACAUAGUACCUUCACAGUAAGUAUUCUUGUUAUUAUUACAAUUGUUAUAAAAUAUCUAUUUUUCUGUGAAAAUAUGGAUGGAGUCCACGUCACAAUGCAUACAGGAAUCACUUAUUCAGUGGCUCUGACAGGUAUCCACCCAGACUCAUGGGGCACUUCAAAUGACAAGUUCUUAUUACUUCAUUGUCAUUGUCAAACAUCUCUGAUCAUCACAAAGUUCCUUUAUCUAUCAUGCCAAGAUCUUUUAUUCCAAUCAGGCCACAAACAUACAGAACUUGCUUACCUUAAAAUAGUCUCCAAGUGAUUUCUGAGUCUCUUCUCCACAUCACAGAUGCCAUCUUUGCCUUUAUCAUCAUGAUCAUUGUCACAAAAAGCUCUUGUGUGUUCAUAACUUGUCACAAGCUAGAUAUGAGUACUUUACAUUUAUGACCUCAUUUAAAAUGCACAGUGAGGUUGUGGUGGAGGUAUCACUAACUUUAUCCUGAAAGUUUAUUUACAUUAUUCUGACAUUUGUGAAGACAACAAGGAAGAUUUAUGUAAGACUUAUUACAAUGAGAGUAUUGUAAUAGAGAGAAGAGAUUAAGCUAAACUCCAAGUACAAGGACAAGUGAGGAUUUAUAGCCAAGGAGAAGGGAUUGGAUCUGUGAAUGGAAAAUUACUUCAAAGAAAACAUCAAGGUAGGGGGAUUUUUGUUAAACUGACCUAACAGGAUUCUUGCUAAGGCAGAAUGUCCUAUAUCAAAGAUGGAGGAUGAGGAACUUGAUCAAGUAUCAAGCAUGAUCAGAUAUCAAUGGUGCUGGGAUAAUUUAAUGGGAUUUUUUUGUUUGGGGGUAGGCCAAAAACAGGAUAGGGUCCAAGGUCAAAGCCUAGUCAAGAAAAGGGUUCAGAGGAUGCUGAUGAAAGUUUGGUGGAGGAGAGUCCUUAUGACUACAUGAGGGAAACUACAAGUUUCUCAUUGAUCAUGGCAUGCCCAAGGUAUAAUACUGUCUCUAGCACAGAGUAAAGGUUCAUUAAUAUUUAAUUAAAGAUAAAAUGAAGAAAAAGAAAGUAGACAUAUAGCAGAUAAAUAACUUGUACAAAAUCAUAUAGAUAUAGUGGAGCUAACAAUAAAUUCAGGUGUACAAGACUCUCAGUUUUAUGUCAGGAACAUUAUGAUGCUUGGUCUCAGACCAUCCCACCACGAGUUCCAUCUACCUUUAUCCUUUUAAAGGGACACAAGUAUAAAUUUCAGUUUCUCAGCCCCCAAAAGGCAUUCCUUCCAUUAGUGAUACAGACAGCCCUAUCAUCUCUGUCUAUCAAAAAUCAAGAGCUAAUUUCAAGAUAUUCUUUUUUCUUGAUUUUAUUCUAUUUUUCUUUGUAUUGGUUCUUUUAGUUAUACAUAACGUUAGGAUUUGUUUUGACAUAAAUUAUAAAAGCAUGGAAUAUAAUUUGCUCUGAUUCAGUCUCUAGUACUUCCCUCUUUCCUACUCUCCUUUCUCUUCCUGUUCCCUCCCUCUACUCUACUGAUCUUUUUGCUAUUUACUUAGUUUUUUUCCUUAUAGAGUCACUCUAUUUAAAAAUUUACAUAAUAUCAGUGUUCUUAUAGCAUUUUUUUAAAAAAGUUUCAAAUACAGCAUGGCUUAAGAAAAGCACAAUUUUUUUGGUCUAUUGGAGUGUACCAUAUUAAAUAGAAAAUGUCACUAAACAUGCAUGUGCUUGUGGCUCAGGGCAAGGUUACCAUCUUAUUCUUGAUCCAUAUCAAUUUCAGUGAACUUUUUGAACUUCCUUGAGACUUCACUUCCCUAUCUGUAAACCAGAACAAGCAAUGAUAAUGGCUACCUGAUAACUUUGUUAUGAAAAUCAAACUAUAAAAGUGAAAGUAUUCAUAAAAUCUUAGGCUUUCUGGUUCAUAAAGAGAAAACAACAGCAAUAUAUAAGAAUAGCACCAGUUUUACUAGGUUCUAUUAGCUAUUGAAAUGGUGUUGUUAUUACUUGUCUUUCAGAAAAAAAAAGAAUUUCCGUACCUAGCAGACCUAUUUGACAUCACUUCAGGAUUCUGUCACUGGAAAUUGCUAUUUCACAAUUGAGGUGGGAGCUCUUGACAAUAUAAAAAUAUCUAAGUAGCUGGGAAGAUACUAGAAGGUCAUUUAUUUUACCUGUAUCUGACAGCCCUCCGCCACUUCAGCACUAUGAGAACAACAUCCUUUAUCCUACUCCUGGUUGUGGCACUUGCAACCAUAUUCAGUGAGUAUCUCUCAUAACACUACCCUUGCCCUGAGAAAACAGCUCCUCCAUCUCUGCCUACAUAAUAUUAGAAUGUGCUUAUCACAUAGGUCAUAAGGAAACUUUCUGAAGCAUUACUUUUUUUGUCUCUACCAAUGAAUCACUAAAUCACAUCAUCUCUAGGGUUGAACAAUGUCAAUGGUCAGCUAAGACUAAAUUCUAAUCCAUACUAACACUUUGUGUAACUUCUUAUGUUAUCAUCCAGAUUCUAUUUGACUUCAUAGCACCAUUUGUGGAGGUGUCUUCUUUUCAUAGAACAUUAUAAUCUGUUGUUUGGCUACAUGAGCAAUUCUUCUUCGAUUCUGCUUCUAUUAUUGAGUUAAAAAACUGUCUCCCUGCCAGGCAUGGUGGCUCACACCUGUAAUCCCAGUGAGCCAGGAGGAUCAUGAGUUUAAAGCCAGCCUCAGCAAUUUAUCAAGGCCCUAAGUAACUCAGCGAGACCCUGUCUGUAAAUAAAAUAUAAAAAGGGGCUGAGUAUGUGGCUCAGUGGUUAAGUUUCCCUGAAUUCACUCCCCAGUAACCUCCCCCAAAAAACUGCCUCCCUAGAAUUUUUAACCAUGAGUUUAGUUUCUGCCACCUACCUAUGCCUACUAUAUAAAAGCAGAUGUUCCUUUCAUAUUAGUGUUUUUUUGUUUUUUGGUGGUGCUGGGGAUCAAUCCCAGGGCUUUGUGCAUGCUGGAUAAGCACUCUACCAACUGAGUUAUUUCCCCAAACCCCAGUGUUCCUUUCAUAUAAGAAUUUUUUUCAGUAUUUACUGAGCUUUUAUUAUAAAAAGAAAAAGAAUAAGACAAACUUCUCAUUUAUCAUAGCACCUUUAUUAUUUUUUUUGACAUUUCAAUCAUUUUCCAAAAGCAGGGAAGAAAAAAAUCUGUGUUAGAAGCUUCGACUUUUGAUAUUAAGUGGAUACAGAGUUCUGAAGAAAAGCUUACACUGUCUUAUAAAACUGAGACAUAAAUCAAAUAUCAUUUCUCUAAUAAGAUUAGGUUAUUCCAGAGUUUAACUUAAUAUUGUCUUUGUUUUACUUCCAGAUAUAGACUGUUCCACAGAGGAGUACCAGGUCAGUUAAUCAUUCUUGAUAUAAAAACCCUAAUUUUAAAGAAUUUUAAAGGCCAAUAUCAGUAAAGAAAUGUUUGAUAUUAUAUAUUAACUAUAUUUAUGUUGAAGAUUUAAUUUCUGAGUAUCAAAAUUGGUUUUAAUUCUAACAUUAUAGAGUGAUCGCCCCAAAAUGAAGGUGGAAGAACAAAUUGAUGAGACAUUAAUAUCAAAGUUAAAAAGUCUUGAGUUUCAAUUCUACCUCUUUUUCAUGUGGCCCUAGGAAAAGUUACUGUGAGAUUGUUCUAAGACCUAAACCUACAGAAUUUGAAAAUGGCCUCUAAGAGAAUAAAGACUGUUAUUUCUACUUGUCCUUCAUGGUUUAUUUACAUAAUGAUUAUUGCUGGAAAAAAAACUGGGUAUAGUAGUAAAAAAACCAACACUCAGGCAUUUUAAGUACUCAUUUUAACUCUGUUGAUUAUUAACUAUGUGACCCUAUGGCCCGGACAAUUUCUUUUAUGUCUGUGAAUCUUUUAUUUUAUCUAUUAAAAAAUAAUAAGGUUAAGAUAUAAGCCUAGUCCUACAGGCCCCAAUUCAAGCCAUCCUUCACCAUCUAAUAGUUGUGAGAAUGAAAAGGGUUAAUGAAGGUUAAGCACUUGGUAGCCACUGUCUGAAUUAUAUCACACAAACCCCAAUUCUGGGCUUUGAGCAAUCAAGGGGAAGUAAAGCCAGGCCGGCAUGGACUUAUCAGGGGCACCACUAUCUCCUGCUACACUAGCCCCUGAGGUCUUCCUGCCUUUGUGUCAUGCUUAUUGAUCCUUGCAUCAGCAACACUCAACUCAUUCCCUAAAUGUAGGAGAUACAUGGAGGAUAGCAAUUGAUGAAUGAAAAAAUUUAUGAGUGGAGCAUAUCUGGAGGCAAAGGUGAAUUCAGGUUUGAGUUUGAGCACUUUCCAGUUAUACCAUCAGAGAUAAACAAUUAGUACAAUACUGCUUCUGGAAUUCUAGAACUGAAUGAGCUGAAGAUGCAGAAUAUGUUUUACAGAACUGGAGUUUGUGCCGUCCAGGAAGUAAAGACAAAGGACAAAAACAACAGCCAUUAUUUUUUUAGUGUUUUCCAUGCCAUGUAGUUCUAAGCACUGUACACAUGUCUUCUCCAAUAUUUAUUUUGUCUUUCAACCUCACAAUGCAGUUAUUACUACUUUCAUUUUGCAGGUAAACAAACUAAAGAUUGGAGAGGUGAAGUAACUGCCCCAGGGUCAUAUAGUAGAAUUUUAAUUCCAUAUUUGACUGUAUUGUUCACAUUCUUCAGUAUGCUCAAAGAUAACAAAUCCAGAAAAUUCUUUCUCAGAAAUUUUCUACCUACUCCCAUAGGUAGAUCACUGCUUUGACUUUGCUCCCAGAGUUUAGAACUGUUAUUCCUAACUCUAAUUUAAAAUACAUUUGUCUGUCUGUGUGCUGGUGAAAUGUAUAGCAAGUGUACAAGAGAAUAACCAAUAACUAAUGUUAAAAGUUACCAAUGAUGUACACUAGUUCUUAAAAGUAAAAUAAUUAUUCUUACAACACUCCUAUUGAAUUUUAUGAGUGAAAAAGAUAAGUAUCAGGGUAAUUCACACAGAACACUUCUGGGUAAUCCCUUGAGAAUGGGUACAUUUGUGGAUAUGCUAUGUGUGUUGAGAACUGAUGAAUCAACCACUGUAGUGAGAAAAUUCUAUUUUGAAAUAAAUUAUGAUUUUGUAACCAACUAUAUAAAGAUGUCUAUUGCUCAUGAUCUUUUUCUUGUUUUUGUUGGUACCAGAGAUUGAACUCAGGGGCUUAACCACUGAGCCACAUCCUCAGCCCUUUUUAUUUUUUUAUUUUGAGACAGGGUCUCACUAAGUUGCUUAAGGCCUUAUUAAGUUGCUAAGGCUGGUCUCAAAUUUGUGAUCCUCCUAUUUCAGGCCCCCAAAUUGCUGAGAUUAUAGGCAUGCGCCACCAUGCCUGGCUGCUUAUGAUUUUUCUAUCCAAAAUAAAAUAUCUUUAUACAUGGUGUAUCUAAAAUGGAUUAGAUAAGGACCAACAAUUUUACUAAUAAACAAGUGCAUGGACUUACUUGGACUUGCUCUGGACUUGCUUGGCAAAUACUAAAUCCUUGGAAAUAAAUAUGUGAUUGAAAUAAUUGAACUUUUAAUGUUUGUUUUUAGGUUAAUUGCACUCCUUAUAGAAACCUACCACCAGAAGAACUAAGAUUUUGUCCUCUAGUCUAUGAACCAAUUUGUGGAUCUGAUGGCAAAACCUAUUCCAAUGAAUGUAUCUUUUGUUUUAAAGUUAAGUAAGUACUGAAAUAUUAUAUUUUUUUUAUAUUUGAGUUAAAGUUAUGUGCUAAAUACCACAAUUAGAGAAAUAGUUCAGGGCAUACAAACUAUGGGAAACAUAUCAUAUUGACUGUGGAAAAUCAGAACCCUGUGACUCAGAGGAUUUGAAAGUCCCUGGUGUCAUAUCCCCAUGUAUUUUGAUGUACACUCAUUCUUAAAAGUAAAAUAAUUAUUCUUACAACAUUCCUAUUGGACUUUAUGAGUGAAAAAGACAAGUAUCAUGGUAAUUCAUACAGAAUACUUCUGGGUAAUCCCUUGAGAAUGGGUACUUUUGUGGAAUUAAGCUUCAGAAUCAGAGAAGCCUAGAAUCUCCAAAUUGGAAGGAAACUUGAGAUCAUCUAGUUCAACUUUCACCUUGUAAUAUAUUAUGUAGAGACUCUGUACAAAGACGUCACCAAGAAAUCCCAUAGUCCAUGCUUAUUUCAAGAGGCAAGGAAUGCCCGCCCCCCUCCCUCAGCAUAUCAAUCCACAUCUGUUAAAAUGAGCUAUAUUAAUUUUCAACUUCAGUAACUAGGUUUGGAAAUGCAAAAAUUCCCCUAAUGAUUGUACAAAAGGGACCAUAUCUGAAAUAAACCUAAAGAUUUGAUCUGUUUUACAGUAUGAUAUUUCAAUGAAAUGUAUAUUUUAGAUAUAGUAAAAAAUAUAUUUUAAAAUGAAAUAGGCAAAAGCAUUUCAAAGGUUAAAAGAUAACCUUUGAGUAGCAUAAGAUCAAAAAACAUGAAAUGCUGAGUGAUAUCCAAGAGUGUUUAGAGUUAGGAACAGUAUAGUGCUCCACUGUAAUCUCAGAGACUCAGGAUGCUGAGAUAGGAGGAUCCAAGUUUGAGGUCAGCCUCAGCAACUUAGAGAAUAAGUCUCAAAAUAAAAAAUAAAAAGGUCUGGGGAUAUACUACAGCUCAGUGGUAAAGUGUCCCUGGGUCCAAUCCCUGAUACCCANGGGGGGAGGGGAGGGGGGAUAGUAGAGGAUAGGAAAGGCAGCAGAACACAACAGACACUAGUAUGGCAAUAUGUAAAUCAAUGGAUGUGUAACUGAUGUGAUUCUGCAAUCUGUAUAUGGGGUAAAAAUGGGAGCUCAUAACCCACUUGAAUCAAAUUGUGAAAUAGGAUAUAUCAAGAACUAUGUAAUGUUUUGAACAGCCAACAAUAAAAAAUUUAAAAAAAAAAAAGAAAAAAAUAAAAAGAAAAGUUAUAACGCAUCCUGAAAAAAAACCUUCUAAAUGAAUGUUUCCUUUAAAUUAAAAAAAGUUAAUUAAAAUAUUUUCAAGUAUAUACACUAAUUGUGAUAUCUUUUGAGUAUCAUCUUUAUGUAAUCAGCACCAGUUUUGAAAAUACUGCUAAAAUACAGUCAUUCCUUUUAAAAACAUCAGUAAGUGGGAGACUUUUCCACUUUGGGUUUUUACUGGUGAACUUUCAAUGCUAAUGAAAUGCUAAUGAGCUCAGCAUUUCUUAUUUCUUGCUUUUCUCUUUCUACAGGGAAACUGAUGAAAGACUUAAAUUUAUACAUUUUUGAAAAUGUUGAAUCCAUCUUCUGAUUCCAAAAUACCUUUUAAUGCAUUUUCUUACUAAGAGAUACAUUUCAUUUCCCAGAAAUCCAUCACACCUUGCCUAAUCGUAUCACCAUAUGUUGAUUUCUUUGUAGAAUAAAAUAGGCCUAAGUGAAAUAAAC
rnacentral:lncRNA from 1 species